UACGAAGGGGGCUAGCGUUGCUCGGAAUCACUGGGCGUAAAGCGCACGUAGGCGGCGAUUUAAGUCAGAGGUGAAAGCCCGGGGCUCAACCCCGGAACUGCCUUUGAGACUGGAUUGCUAGAAUCUUGGAGAGGCGGGUGGAAUUCCGAGUGUAGAGGUGAAAUUCGUAGAUAUUCGGAAGAACACCAGUGGCGAAGGCGGCCCGCUGGACAAGUAUUGACGCUGAGGUGCGAAAGCGUGGGGAGCAAACAGG
rnacentral:rRNA from 1 species